CCUACUUUUAUUUACUUCUACCUAUUUAUACAUAUAAUUAUUGGCUUACAUCUGUAUAUCCGUGACAUUACCCCUUCUUUUAGGGAUGAGUUCUACAAUGAGUGGUCAUCAUAUGUUGAGAAAAUCUAUGAUGUGACGAAUUGUAUUUGUCACAUACUCUGAUCUUUAUUCUCUUCGAAGAUGAAUGAUUGUCACGGAUACAAAAUACAGACAAGAAAACUAAACAAGAAGUUCAAGAAGAACUGGAUUAAUCAGAUGAGUACAAGAACAACACCAGAAAGGUGAG
rnacentral:lncRNA from 1 species